rnacentral:rRNA from 1 species
UACCCCCUUUUACAUAAGCAUAUCAAUAAGCGCAGGAAGAGAAUCCAACAGGGAUUGCCCUAGUAACGGCGAGUGAAGCGGCAACAGCUCAAAUUUGAAAUCUGGCUCUCGGGCCCGAGUUGUAAUUUGUAGAGGAUACUUUUGAUGCGGUGCCUUCCGAGUUCCCUGGAACGGGACGCCAUAGAGGGUGAGAGCCCCGUCUGGUUGGAUGCCAAAUCUCUGUAAAGUUCCUUCGACGAGUCGAGUAGUUUGGGAAUGCUGCUCUAAAUGGGAGGUAUAUGUCUUCUAAAGCUAAAUACCGGCCAGAGACCGAUAGCGCACAAGUAGAGUGAUCGAAAGAUGAAAAGCACUUUGAAAAGAGAGUUAAAAAGUACGUGAAAUUGUUGAAAGGGAAGCGUUUAUGACCAGACUUGGGCUUGGUUAAUCAUCUGGGGUUCUCCCCAGUGCACUUUUCCAGUCCAGGCCAGCAUCAGUUUUCGCCGGGGGAUAAAGACUUCGGGAAUGUGGCUCUCUUCGGGGAGUGUUAUAGCCCGUUGUGUAAUACCCUGGCGGGGACUGAGGUUCGCGCAUCUGCAAGGAUGCUGGCGUAAUGGUCAUCAACGACCCGUCUUGAAACACGGACCAAGGAGUCGUCUUCGUAUGCGAGUGUUCGGGUGUCAAACCCCUACGCGUAAUGAAAGUGAACGCAGGUGAGAGCUUCGGCGCAUCAUCGACCGAUCCUGAUGUUCUCGGAUGGAUUUGAGUAAGAGCAUACGGGGCCGGACCCGAAAGAAGGUGAACUAUGCCUGUAUAGGGUGAAGCCAGAGGAAACUCUGGUGGAGGCUCGCAGCGGUUCUGACGUGCAAAUCGAUCGUCAAAUAUGGGCAUGGGGGCGAAAGACUAAUCGAACCUUCUAGUAGCUGGUUUCCGCCGAAGUUUCCCCCUCAGAAA